GAUGAAGAACGUAGCAAAAUGCGAUAAGUAAUGUGAAUUGCAGAAUUCAGUGAAUCAUCGAAUCUUUGAACGCACAUUGCGCCCCUUGGUAUUCCGAGGGGCAUGCCUGUUCGAGCGUCAUUAUAACCCCUCAAGCUCAGCUUGGUAUUGGGGCCUGCCAUCCUGGCAGCCCUUAAAAUCAGUGGCGGUGCCAUCCGGCUCUAAGCGUAGUAACUCCUCUCGCUAUGGAGUCCUGGUGGAUGCUUUGCCAUUAAUCUUUUAACUUCUAUGGUUGACCUCGGAUCAGGUAGGGAUACCCGCUGAACUUAAGCAUAUCAAUAAGCGGAGGA
rnacentral:misc_RNA from 1 species